rnacentral:rRNA from 1 species
AACGAACGCUGGCGGCAGGCCUAACACAUGCAAGUCGAGCGGACCCUUCGGGGUUAGCGGCGGACGGGUGAGUAACGCGUGGGAAUAUGCCCUUCUCUACGGAAUAGUCCUGGGAAACUGGGGGUAAUACCGUAUACGCCCUUUGGGGGAAAGAUUUAUCGGGGAAGGAUUAGCCCGCGUUGGAUUAGGUAGUUGGUGGGGUAAUGGCCUACCAAGCCGACGAUCCAUAGCUGGUUUGAGAGGAUGAUCAGCCACACUGGGACUGAGACACGGCCCAGACUCCUACGGGAGGCAGCAGUGGGGAAUCUUAGACAAUGGGGGCAACCCUGAUCUAGCCAUGCCGAGUGAGUGAUGAAGGCCUUAGGGUUGUAAAGCUCUUUCAGCUGGGAAGAUAAUGACGGUACCAGCAGAAGAAGCCCCGGCUAACUCCGUG